rnacentral:rRNA from 1 species
AGAUUGAACGCUGGCGGAAUGCUUUACACAUGCAAGUCGAACGGCAGCACGGGGGCAACCCUGGUGGCGAGUGGCGAACGGGUGAGUAAUACAUCGGAACGUGCCCAAUCGUGGGGGAUAACGUAGCGAAAGCUACGCUAAUACCGCAUACGAUCUACGGAUGAAAGCGGGGGAUCGCGAGACCUCGCGCGAAUGGAGCGGCCGAUGGCAGAUUAGGUAGUUGGUGGGGUAAAGGCUCACCAAGCCAACGAUCUGUAGCUGGUCUGAGAGGACGACCAGCCACACUGGGACUGAGACACGGCCCAGACUCCGUACGGGAGGCAGCAGUGGGGAAUUUUGGACAAGUGGGCGAAAGCCUGAUCCAGCCAUCCGCGUGCAGGAUGAAGGCCCUCGGUUGUAAACUGCUUUUGGACGGAACGAAAGCCUUACUUCUAAUACAAGAGGUCAUGACGGUACGU